rnacentral:lncRNA from 1 species
CGUAUCCGAUCUCUACAGAUAUCUAUCGGGAUCAACCUUGAACCUUUCUUCUUAUUGUAGAUCCUUUUUCUUCAAGUAGGAUCUCAGCCUAUUGAACCUUUGAUCAACUCUUAAUCUUUGACCGCGAUCUCAACACUUGAACUGCAGUCUUUUUCUUUUUCUUUGAUGUAGAAUCAACCACCCUUCACCUUGGACGUGUGGGAAGAUAGGAUGCCCAACACUU